GGACACCCAGGGGCACGGGCAGCGCCCGUUGCCGUUUGAGAGACUAGGCCCUGCCGGGCUGCUGCUUUACCAGGAUGGAAGGAAGCUAAACCCUCCACUCCUUCCUUCCGAGGCUGCCCCUGCGACAUUUUCCACAGGUGGACAGCAUAAGUGAUUAAUGGAGAUGGACACUUCUGCACAACUGUGAUGUUUCAUUCAGUGGACAGUUUGCUACAUAAUACAGCAACAAAACAUGCACAUAAACCGCUGCAAUAUCAGAUA